GACACAUUAACACACCCCCCCCCGUGCCCGGCCCCGCCCACGCCCCCGCUGGAGCCUCCCUGGGGCCGCCGCGGGCUUCGCCUGACCCGCUGCGGAGCUGCAGCCUCCAGGUGUGUGACUGAGAUCAGGGUUCUUAUCGUACUGAGCAUGGCCCUGUUCUUCCAGGUGCUGCAGAGCCCCCAACUGAGAUCUGGGUCCUGUUCUGCCAGGCACUGAAGAGACCCCACGUGAGAUCAGAUCCCACUGUUGUGCCAGCUGCACAUUUUUCAAGCCUCCCUACUCCAUCCCAAAGGC